AGUGAACGCUGGCGGUAGGCCUAACACAUGCAAGUCGAACGGCAGCACAGUAAGAGCUUGCUCUUACGGGUGGCGAGUGGCGGACGGGUGAGGAAUACAUCGGAAUCUACUUUUUCGUGGGGGAUAACGUAGGGAAACUUACGCUAAUACCGCAUACGACCUACGGGUGAAAGCAGUGGAUCUUCGGACCUUUCGCGAUUGAAUGAGCCGAUGUCGGAUUAGCUAGUUGGCGUGGUAAAGGCCCACCAAGGCGACGAUCCGUAGCUGGUCUGAGAGGAUGAUCAGCCACACUGGAACUGAGACACGGUCCAGACUCCUACGGGAGGCAGCAGUGGGGAAUAUUGGACAAUGGGCGCAAGCCUGAUCCAGCCAUACCGCGUGAGUGAAGAAGGCCUUCGGGUUGUAAAGCCCUUUUGUUGGGAAAGAAAAGCAGCAGGUUAAUACCCCGCUGUUCUGACGGUACCCAAAGAAUAAGCACCGGCUAACUUCGUG
rnacentral:rRNA from 1 species